rnacentral:piRNA from 1 species
AGCCUGUGUAAUUCAUUGCAGAAGACA